rnacentral:rRNA from 1 species
AGCGAACGCUGGCGGCAGGCUUAACACAUGCAAGUCGAGCGGGCAUCUUCGGAUGUCAUCGGCAGACGGGUGGGUAACACGGGGGAACGUACCCUUCGGUUCGGAACUACUCUGGGAAACUGGAGCUAGUACCGGAUACGCCCUUAAGGGGGAAGGUUUACUGCCGAAGGAUCGGCCCGCGUCUGAUUAGCUGGUUGGUGGGGUAAGGGCGUACCAAGGCGACGAGCAGGAGCUGGUCUGAGAGGCUGAUCAGCCACACUGGGACUGAGACGCGGCCCGGACUCCUACGGGAUGCAGCAGAGGGGAAUACAGGCCAAUGGGGGCAAGGCAGAACCCGCCAUGCCGCGUGAGUGAUGAAGGCCUUAGGGUUGUAAAGCUCUUUUGUCCGGGACGAUAAUGACGGUACCGAAAGAAUAAGCCCCGGCUAACUUCGUG